AUACGGAGGGUGCAAGCGUUACUCGGAAUCACUGGGCGUAAAGCGCGCGCAGGCGGGCUGAUAAGUUGGAUGUGAAAGCCUACGGCUCAACCGUAGAACUGCAUCCAAAACUGUCAGUCUAGAGUCUGGGAGGGGAAGAUGGAAUUAGUUGUGUAGGGGUAAAAUCCGUAGAGAUAACUAGGAAUACCAAAAGCGAAGGCGAUCUUCUGGAACAGUACUGACGCUGAGGCGCGAAAGCGUGGGGAGCAGACAGGAUUAGAUACCCCAGUAGUCC
rnacentral:rRNA from 1 species